CUUGAACUUGUUGGCCAGACAAUACACGUUUUCUUGCACAAAUGAUUAGGUUCUCGACACCCUCUGAUAAAACUUAAAUAGUUGUACUAGUUGAUCCAGUUUCACUAUCAUUCACAUGUUCUCUUUCUGAUUCUAUCGAUUCAGUACCUGUGUUUUCAUCUGUGUCAUCAAUUUCACUGUUCUCCUUUGAAACCUCUUUAAACACCUUAUAAAUCUUCCCCAGUUUAAAGAGUUGUCAAAAUUUUCUUAGGCAAAGAAGAUGAAGACAAACCUAUCUUUAGGUCAGACACCUUUCUAUAUUUAUAAAAUACAACCAGAAAACGUAUCAUUUCCCCCUUUUUAUGAACUCUUCCAUAUCAGC
rnacentral:lncRNA from 1 species